rnacentral:rRNA from 1 species
GAUAAACGCUAGCGGCAGGCUUAACACAUGCAAGUCGAGGGGCAGCAUAGAUUGUAGCAAUACAAUUGGUGGCGACCGGCGCACGGGUGCGUAACGCGUAUGCAACCUACCCGUCACAGGGGGAUAAUCCGGAGAAAUCUGGUAUAAUACCCCAUAACAUAUGGAUCGGCAUCGGGUCCUGUUGAAAUUUUCGGAGGUGACGGAUGGGCAUGCGUAGCAUUAGCUUGUUGGUGAGGUAACGGCUCACCAAGGCGACGAUGCUUAGGGGGACUGAGAGGUUUUCCCCCCACACUGGUACUGAGACACGGACCAGACUCCUACGGGAGGCAGCAGUGAGGAAUAUUGGUCAAUGGGCGCAAGCCUGAACCAGCCAUGCCGCGUGCAGGAUGACGGCUCUAUGAGUUGUAAACUGCUUUUGUACGAGGGUAAAGUGGGUUACGUGUAACCUUUUGAAAGUAUCGUACGAAUAAGGAUCGGCUAACUCCGUGCCAGCCGCCGCCGUAA